rnacentral:rRNA from 1 species
GACAUCCAGAGAACUUAGCAGAGAUGCUUUGGUGCCUUCGGGAACUCUGAGACAGGUGCUGCAUGGCUGUCGUCAGCUCGUGUUGUGAAAUGGUUGGGUUAACGUCCCGCAACGAGCGCAACCCUUAUCCUUUGUUGCCAGCGGUUCGGCCGGGAACUCAAAGGAGACUGCCGGUGAUAAACCGGAGGAAGGUGGGGAUGACGUCAAGUCAUCAUGGCCCUUACGGCCAGGGCUACACACGUGCUACAAUGGCGCAUACAAAGAGAAGCGACCUCGCGAGAGCAAGCGGACCUCAUAAAGUGCGUCGUAGUCCGGAUUGGAGUCUGCAACUCGACUCCAUGAAGUCGGAAUCGCUAGUAAUCGUAGAUCAGAAUGCUACGGUGAAUACGUUCCCGGGCCUUGUACACACCGCCCGUCACACCAUGGGAGUGGGUUGCAAAAGAAGUAGGUAGCUUAACCUUCGGGAGGGCGCUUACCACUUUGUGAUUCAUGACUGGGGUGAAGUCGUAACAAGGUAAGCGUAGCGAG